GCGGGGCUGCCCGGUGCGUCAGGCAAUUCAUCCCCGGGGCCAACAAGCAUCCUCCGGGAGCUGGCUCUGUCCGGAUCGUGGUCCGGAUAUCUGGCGCCCACCUGCUAGCGCAGGCCUUGGGAGGAUGAGACGCCAACGGCCAUGGUGGCUCCGCA
rnacentral:other from 1 species